rnacentral:lncRNA from 1 species
AUUAAUUUCUAAGCUCUUUGAGGGCGAGGAUUGAGUUUAAUUAACUGAUAUCCCCAAGACCUAGCUCAGAGCCCAGGAAAGCUGUGGCACAGUGGGAAGGGAGGUAGGGGUGAGUAAAGUGGGAGACAGAGGUGAGUGGGGCGAGAGAUAGGGGCGAGUGGGGCGGGAGGCAGGGGGCGAGUGUGGCGGGAGGCAGGGGGCGAGUGUGGCGGGAGGCAGGGGGCGAGUGUGGCGGGAGGCAGGGGGCGAGUGUGGCGGGAGGCAGGGGGCGAGUGUGGCGGGAGGCAGGGGGCGAGUGGGGCGGGAGGCAGGGGGCGAGUGGGGCGGGAGGUAGGGGGCGAGUGGGGCGGGAGGUAGGGGCGAGUGGGGCGGGAGGUAGGGGACGAGUGGGGCGGGAGGUAGGGGACGAGUGGGGCGGGAGGUAGGGGUGAGUGGGGCGGGAGGCAGGGGGUGAGCAGGGCAGAAGGGAGAGGCGAGUGGCGGGGGGAGGUGGGGCAGGAGGUAGGGGCGAGUUGCUAAGGAAGGUCUGUGCUCUUUGUUGGCAGUUUCUUCUCACGAUUCUUUGUUUCCCGUCAUUUCUGAGACCACCAACUGUCUUUAGUCCAAGAUUUUUUGUGAUGGUUCUCAUUAUGGGGAAAGGCUCACAGCAGGAUAGAGUGGGAGCAGCUGCUGCUGUUCCUAACUCACUCCUGAAUGCCCAGCACAGAAAUUGCGUGACUUUCGGGAGUGAAUAAAACCAAAGUGCCACAGGCAUACAGUAGAGUGUGUGUAAAUAAUAUAAAUGAAGUAAAUGGUAAUUCCUAGGACACAGAUUUUCCUUAAUCUCUUAAUGAAAUCAAGUAUUACAUUCUGAAGGGUAAGGAGAGACUGGUUAGGAGCACGAAUGGGGACACAAUAGAUAAAAGAUGGGCCUCUCUGGGCUGCAUUUUGCAGCCCAGAGAGGCUGAAAGCCUGGCUGAGCUUCAAGUCAAGAACAGCCUGGGUGUAUCCAAGGGAGCUCCUGAAAGAGAUGAUGUCAUCCUGGAAGCACUAAGCCUGGAAAGGGACAGUCACCAUCUGUGUUCCUGGCUGGAAGGCUGCACAGUGUGCAUGCGUGUGUGUGUGUGUGUGUGUGUGUGCGUGCAUGUGUGUGUGUGUGUGUGUGUAUGUGGCAGGCACCUGUAAAGCUUAUCUUAUCUCCCCAUCAAUCUCACCAGCAGCACCUAGACUCCUACCAAGGACCACUCCCCACCAACAGGCGGGUGGCAGAGGCAACAGGUCAGAACGCGCUGGGCCGCUCCAGUGACAAGAUUGACAUUGGCCACCCAGCUCUUAUGAUCACUUCUCUGCAGAAAGGGAUCAUUUUGUGAUUUACGGGCUGAGUAAAGCAAGGCCGAGUUGAAAUCUCAUCUGAGAGAUUUCUCUCAUCCUGGGCAGCUUGGGCCAGAUAUAGGGAGAUUGCUGUGGCUCCUCUGUAUUUUCCUAGCACCCAUUACUUACUUUUGGAACAGUGGUGCUUUCAUUUCACUUUGUACCACCACUAAAAAUUUCAUCACCCAGAGAUUACUUUAGGGCAAUAAAGAAUCACCUAAGAAGGAGGUUAAGGGAUUGCUGCUGGUCCCUCAAACAACUGUAUGAAACAGACUUCUUCCCCUUAACUCCUAAGGAAUAAAGGCAUCAGCCAUACCAAGGGAAUCAAGAGAUUUCAUUUAAAGGGAUAAAGAAAGAAAUGUGGGAAGCCAGAGCCCCUUGAAGGGAAAAACUGUCUGAGGAAGGCCACCUCAGGGCAACAUAAAAGCCCUGGCAGGUAUGAGAAGAGAGGAAGGGAGUAGGACAAGCUUUUCCAGGGCAGACCCCAGAGAUUCCCCUUUGAUACACAGCCCUUCAGCAGCACGGAAUUUGACUGCAGGACCCAGAAGGCAGGCUGCCUAAGUUCACCCCGAUCCUGAAGGCUGGCCCAAGGGACUUCACCACCACUUGUCACACCGUUUCUAUAUGGAAAUUUAUUUUUAGUCCCAACAACUAAUUUAUAAACAAGCAGUCGGAACCAAGCCCAUUCCUAAUUUGGAGACAAGAUGCACUGUUUCCUCAUUUAGGCUGAAACCACCAUAUCAAACCAAAAUUACGUGACCCCUGCCAAGUAGGACAAAGCCUUGCCCUUUUUAGGUGCUCAAUAAACGUUUAAUGAUGACAAUAAUGACACGCUGUAUCUAGGUACAGACAGUCCUCCAGCCCUGUGGCCUUCACAUCUGGCAUAUGCUGUCCUUGCUGUACUGUGUACUAGACCAAGCUCGUGCUGAUCAGGAACCCCAGGGUGUAGAGGACAAUGACUCCUCUCUCCUACCUGUUGGCUAGCUGCUGCUCGAAGUCCCCACAAUGCCGCAAAAGCUCUCCACAGGUGGCUAUUAUCCUAAACAAAACAAAAAGCACUUCAAGUUCAAGUAUCUGGAAUGCCAGCCUUUACAGGACAAACAUUGUCUUAUUCAUAAAAAUCCUAACUAUUUGCUCCUUUGGGUAGUUCUGGUUCUGGGAAAGCCGUUAAACAUCUGCUGGCCUGAAAUGUUUCAUUCAUUAGUCAUUAAUGUAAAAAGAAAAUGCUGGUCCCUUCCAAUAACCUCCAUUGUCACUGGCAUCUCUGCUACGAAAGCACAAUUCUAUCCAUGGCCCCCUCAAAUAAUUUUACAUUUCCAAAAUACUCAGCUUUGUCCUUGAGAAAAACAGGGUAGAGAUAUUUUAUAUCUAAAAUUUAUUAUUUAUUUAUUUAUUUAUUUUUGCAACUAAGUCUCGCUCUGUCACCCAGGCUGGAGUGCAAUGGCGUCAUCUUGGCUCACUGCAACCUCUGCCUCCCAGGUUCAAGUGACUCUCCUGCCUCAGCCUCCCAAGUAGCUGGGAUUACAGGCGCACGCCACCACGCCUGGCUAAUUUUUGUUAUUUUUAGUAGAGACGGGGUUUCACUAUAUUGGCCAGGCUGGUCUCAAACUCCCGACCUUAAGUGAUCCGCCUGCCUUGGCCUCCCAAAAUGCUGGGAUUAUAGGAGUGAGCCACCACAUCCUGCCUGUAUCUAAAAUUAAAAACAAAAAAAAUGUAUCACUUAAUAUUUGCUAGAUGCCUGCUAGUUUCCAGACACAGAAAAUGUUUUGGUACUAGAAGUAUCUUUCCCUGAUCAUAUGAAAGGCAGAUGAAGAUUAAUCCAUUUGUUUCUCAGAGAUAAGCCCAAAUGACCAUCAUAUCCGUAUUGAAUGAUCCUUUAAUUUUCAAGUAAUUUUAUGCCAAGCCUCAAACUCCCAGCUGCUGGGUCCUUCAACACCAAACUCAUAAUGUCAGGACAAAUCCAAGGAUUAAAAACAUCUUAAGUCUAGUUAACUUUUAACCUUCUCUAAAAGUGCGCAUCAUCACCAGGCUAUCUAGGCAUUCCAUCAUAAGAAAAGUUUAUGAGAAGGUAAAAUAUUCCACUUCCCUUACGUGCAACAGAACAAACUUGUGCAUAAUAUUUUCCAGAAUACCAAACCACCACGGGUGAUAAGGGAUACAGUUAGCAUCUAGAACAUUACAUUUUUUUUAAAUUUUAUUUUAAGUUCCGGGAUACAUGUGUAGGACGUGCAGGUUUGUUAAUAGGUAAACGUGUGUCAUCGUGGUUUGCUGCACCUAUCAACCCAUAGAACAUUAAAUUUCAUCAAAACAAUCCAGAACAGAGCCUGUGAGGUGAGGUAAUAAUCUAAAAUGGUCCUGAGUGGUCCUGGAUCUACCCAACGGCCUUGGGUGGGUCUGGGUCUGCUCUGGCAUGGGCCACCGCAUUAAGAACCACAUGUGUCACGGGCAAGGGUCAGGUAAGACAUGAAAGUGGGUGAAGUGCGCCAAGUGAACGGCCAUUUCUCUCUUGGGAAAAUAUAUCCAGGAAGAAUGGUUUUAAGAAAAAGAAACUUCCAGAUUGCU